rnacentral:misc_RNA from 1 species
GAUGAAGAACGCAGCGAAACGCGAUAGUUAAUGUGAAUUGCAGAAUUCAGUGAAUCAUCGAGUCUUUGAACGCAUCUUGCGCUCCUUGGUAUUCCGAGGAGCAUGCCUGUUUGAGUGUCAUGAAUCCCUCAGCCCCCAUCGUUUUUUGUUAAGCGAUUGGCUUGGGUCUGGAUUUGGGCGUCUUGCCAAUGCGCUUCUUCAAGUGCUUGGCUCGCCUUAAAGAGAUUAGCUGGACCCUAUUCCGAGCUGGUUCAACUCGACGUGAUAAUUUCAUUCGUCGAGGUAUGGUCGGCCUUACGGCUGAUCAGCCAGGUGUAGGAAUCCGGUCUGCUUCCAACCUUCGUCUGAAGCCAGCAAUGGUGUGAAGCGGAAUUUUUAAUGCUCUGGCCUCAAAUCAGGUAGGAUUACCCGCUGAACUUAAGCAUAUCAAUAAGCGGAGGA